UUACAGGAACAAAGGGUGUAUGGUGGAUGCCUUGGCUUCAAGAAGCGAUGAAGGACGUGAUAUGGCUGCGAUAAGUUUCGGGGAGGUGCCAAAUAACCUUUGAUCCGGAAAUGUCCCAAUGGGGAAACCCUACUACUUUCAGUAGUAACCCUUGUAUGAGGGGGCGUACCUAGGGAAGUGAAACAUCUCAGUACCUAGAGGAAUAGAAAGCAAUAGACGGAAAUUUCUUUUUGAGCGGAUGCUUUGCAUCAGCUCAUUGAGCAUGGUGCUUUGCGCCAUUACGCUCAAGAAGAAGGUUCUUGCGAUUCCCGGAGUAGCGGCGAGCGAAAGGGGAAUAGCCCAAAUCCUGCACCUUUUAAGGUGCAGGAGGUUGUAGGGCGGAAUCUGCAUUUAGUUGCAGAGAGUUACAAAACAGAUAUAUAGGAAAACACGUUGGGAAGCGUGACCCCAGUAGGUAAUAGUCCUGUAUUCGAAAUGUAUCUGACUCUCUUGGUUCCGUUCCUGAGUAGCGCGGGACAUGAAUAGCCCGUGUGAAUCCACCAGUACUAACUGGUAAGGCUAAAUAUUCUUGAAGACCGAUAGUGAACAAGUACCGUGAGGGAAAGGUGAAAAGAACCCCGGAGAGGGGAGUGAAAUAGAUCUGAAACCAUACAUCUACAAGGAGUCGGACCCAGCUCCAGAUUCGUAAUCUGAAUCAACGGGCUUUAUAAGAUCAACCGCAGUUGUUUUAUAGAGCAAAGUUGUGAAAAUCGUGAAUCUGGAGCUGGGGACGGCGUGCCUAUUGAAGAAUGAGCCGGCGAGUGUAUAUCUAUGCUUUGUCUAAGUGGCAAUCCCACGGAGGCACAGUGAAAGCGAGCGUGAAUAGCGCGAAUAUAGCGUAGGUAUACGACCCGAAGCGGGAAGAGCUUGCCAUGAGCAGGGUGAAGCGACUGUAAUAGGUCGUGGAGGCCCGAACCGGUUGGCCGUACAAAACCAUCGGAUGACUUGUGGUAAGGAGUGAAAAGCUAAUCGAUUUCCGUAAUAGCUGGUUCUCUCCGAAACAGCUUUAGGGUUGGCGUCGUGUGUUUCCUACGGGGGUAGAGCACUGGAAGGUCAAAAUAGGGGGAAACUUCGUUUGACCUAUCAAACUCCGAAUACCGUUAGGCCACAGCACGGCAGUUAGACUACGGGGGAGAAGCUCCGUUGGUCAAAAGGGAAACAGCCCAGAUCGCCAGUUAAGGUCCCAAAAUAUAUGCUCAGUGCAAAAUGAGGAGGUGAGGAUUCACAAACAGUGAGGAGGUUGGCUUAGAAGCAGCCAUCCUUUAAAGAUAGCGUAAUAGCUCACUCAUCGAGAGUCCUUGCGCCGAAAAUGAUCGGGGCUCAAGCAUAUUACCGAAACUGCGGAUUCGUAGGCUUCAUUUAGGAAAAGUUUAUGUCCAAGGGGACAGUUUGAUGGUCGUCAGAGUCCGCUCGCGCAGCGGAACAGCGUACGACCACAGCUGCCCACCAAGCAUGCAAAAACAGUAAAGAUGUCUCCUGAGGCGAGCGCCACCUGGCGCGUUAGUGACGGGCACUGCGCAGACUGUUAACAUUGCAUACUUUUCGUCGGGAGUGUUCGAAAGAACCCCCUUGGACUCCCGUUCUUUUACGUCGAGACAAUUUUGGUCCCCGGUAGCUUAGUUGGCAGAGUAGCUGAAUGCAAAUCAGUGAACACUGGUUCGACUACAGUCCGGGGAACCAAAAUUGUCUCACGUACCAUUUCAAACAAGCGUUUGAAUCCUAAAUGAAGCCUACGAGUGGUAGGAGAGCGUCCAUCUCUGCGAUGAAUCCAAGGCGGGAGCCGCGGUGGAGCGAGGUGGAGUGAGAAUGCCGGCACAAGUAACCGCAAGGCAGGUGAGAACCCUGCCCGCCGAAAUACCAAGGUUUCCUUUGCGAUGGUGAUCAUCGAAGGGUUAGUCGGUCCUAAGGGAAUCCCGAAUGGGGGACCCGAUGGAGAGCAGGUUAAUAUUCCUGCACACUGUUAUGUUCCUAUGGAGGGACGGAGCGUUGUACCCAAAGCUUCUUAUUGGAUUGGAGCUGGAGCUAUGAGCGUGUUACUUAGGUAAAUCCGGGUAGCAAUAGCGCGAGUAGGGUCUGAAUGUGAGCCUUCGGGUGAGCAAAUAAGGGGAGCACGCUUCCGAGAAAAACUUCGUUUGGGUUAAGCAUAAUGGUUCCGUACCGCAAACCGACACAGGUGGUAGAGUCGAGAAGACUAAGGCGAACGAGUGAGAGGUCCUCAAGGAACUCGGCAAAAUAGCGGCCGUAACUUCGGGAUAAGGCCCGCCAGCCCUAGAUUUGGGGUAUGAUAGUUGAAUGCACGCUGUGUACGUGAUUCAAAACAAUGAGACUAAAGAAGUCUAUAUUGGUCGUACUGCCAAUCUCAAAACAAGACUGGUUGAACACAAUUCGCGCGGUAAGAAAAGCACCACGCGCAAUAGUGGCAGCUGGAAGUAUAUUUAUGUUGAACUUUUUCGAAGUACUGAUGAUGCUAUUGAGCGCGAAAAGAAGCUCAAAGCGCACGGUAGUGGUAAACAAAAGUUGAUGUCACGACUUCGAAAAAGCUUGUUUUGAGCCCCAAAUCUAGGGCUGGCCGCAGCGAAAGAUUUCCUGCCGACUGUUUAACAAAAACACAGCUCUCUGCUAACACGAAAGUGGAUGUAUAGAGGGUGACGCCUGACCUAUGCCGGAAGGUUAAGUACGGAUGGUGAUAUGAGAUUCGUCUUGUAUUGCUGGGCUGUAUAAGCCCCGGUAAAUGUCAGCGAUAACUAUAAUCGUUCUAAGGUCGAGUGCGUGAUUUAUUCGUGCAUUCGACGGAUUGGGACGAUUGUAGAGUUAAAUAGCCUAGCCAUAGUUACCUUGCGACACAGAAAUGUGGCGCAUAAUCCAAACCAAGCCGUCAAGAGACCAGAUGCUUGGCACCGCAGCACACGGAUCAUUGAUCUGGGGUGGUGGUGAAGAUAGAGUCCAAUUGUGAAAUGUCCCCGCUACGUUUGUGGUGGAGGAGAAGGAAAAAUUGAGCGUAUUUCCUUGUCGGGUAAGUUCCGACGUGCACGAAUGGCGUAACGAGUGGGAAACUGUCUCGAGGACCUGCUCGGUGAAAAUACAAUCCCGGUAAAGAUGCCGGGUACCUGCAGUUAGACGAAAAGACCCCAGGAGCUUUACUGUAAUUUCGUAUUGGGGCUGUUGAGUUAAUGCGUAGCAUAGGAAGGAGACUUUGAAGCGAGCUUUCGGGUAUCGUGGAGUCACCAGUGAAAUACUUCCCUUUAUUUUGGCAGUCUCUAACCGGUGUGGCAAAACCACAUCGAGACAGUGCGUGAUAGGCAGUUUUAGUGGGGCGCUACCCUCCCAAAUCGUAACGGAGGGGUCUCAAGGUUGGUUAGGCGCGAAUGGAAACCGUGCCGAUAGUGUAAUGGCAUAAACCAGCUUGACUGUGAGGAGUAGAUUCCGAACAGAUACGAAAGUAGAGCAUAGUGAACCGAUGGUUGGCUUUAGACGCCGCCGGAGAUUACCCGAUAAAAGUUACCCUGGGGAUAACAGGCUAGUUGUGCCCAAGCGUCCAUAGCGACGGCACAGUUCGGCACCUCGAUGUCGGCUCAUCUUAUCCUGGGGCUGGAGCAAACCAUAUCUGCUCUCCUUGCUGGAAACAGCAAGGUAAUCGGUUGGUGGAUUUUGUCUUUGGCAUAAUCCACCAACCGGACUGUAACAAUGCGGUACCCUCCGCGGUACAGGAAACAAGCUCAAAACGGAGAAGGCUGACUCAUGCGGUCUAGGGAAGACAAAUGACCUGCAGUUUCGCAGGUCCCAGGUGUGCUACACUUGGAGUAUGAGAGCUAAUUCCGUAGGAAAGAUGUGUUCUGAAGUCGAUCUGGCAUAUGUUGCUGGUUUGGUUGAUGGAGAUGGCGCUAUCAUGGCGUGUAUCGAACCACACCAAGAAAAGAAGUUUCGGUUCAGAGUAAGGGUUGUUUUCAAAGUCACUCAAAAACACAAGGAAGACUUAAUAUUUCUUGAAAAAUUGUUUGAGUGUGGCUUAAUAAGACAAAACGGAUCAACAUACGAUUGGAUAGUGCGCGAUCAACAAUCGCUCGCUACCAUACUUGGUAUGUUACUCCCUUACUCCCGCUCGAAACAGCAGCAAAUUAAGCUUGCGUUAGAUAUUCUUCAUACUGAAAUAGUAACCAAAGAAGACCUACUGCGAGUUGCCACAUUGGCGGAUGCAUUGUCACGGUUUAACGUUCGGUCCAACAACCGACGAAAAAACCAUGUGACAAUGAUCCAAGAACACAUUUCCUCUAACGACUGAUCGCUACUGGUUGGCAGUAGCGUGAGAUAUACCCGCUUUGUGGGGUAUCACACGGCUUGCACCUACGGUGCGUGUGGUGACACGCGUACUACGGUGAUGGAAUAGUCUGAUCUAUGCGGGAACGCAUAGUUAACAGCAAAAUGAGGUCCCAAGGGUUUGGCUGUUCGCCAAUUAAAAAGAUACGCGAGCUGGGUUUAGACCGUCGUGAGACAGGUUGGUCUCCUAUCUACUGCAGGCGUCGAUUCUUGAGGAGAGUUGUCCGUAGUAAGUAAUUGCUACUUCAAGGAGAGAUCCUUGAUGACAAUACGGCUUAUAACGGUGAAGUCUAAGUCAAAUCUGGUUUUAGAGAAUGAUUGACCAAGGUCCAGUGUCAAUCAAACUCGCUUGAGGACCGGAAUCUUGAUAUGAUAAUACCGUGGGAAGUCGAUCCGACACAGAUUUAGCAUACAUUGCGGGUUUCCUUGAUGGAGACGGAAGCAUUAUGUUGCAGGUAAAGUCGCGUAGCGAUACAAAUCGCGGAGUGCGCUUUAUGGCAACUAUCUGCCUCUAUCAAGAUACUCGUCACGAGAGUCCACUGUUGUGGAUGCGUGAAAUCUUUGGUAUCGGGUACAUAUCACACCGUAAGGAUAGUAUUACCGAACUGAGAGUUAAUGGUUUUGCUUCGGUAAGAAGAAUACUCAUUUUGCUCCAGCCUUACAUUAGGUUCAAACAAGUACAAGUAACAGCAUUGUUGAAUGCUUGCGAAAUACUUGGUGGCCGCAGGGUUGGUGAUCUGAAUGAAGUCCAGCUGAAAGAGUUGGUUGAUCUGGUUUUUUUGAUCAGGGAAAACAACUAUAAAAGCAGGCAGACGCUUACCAAAGAAACAUUGCUACUGCGUUUGGGUUUGACCCCGUAACGACUUGCACUGAAAUAUGUGCAGACCGCAUGUUGAUGAAUCAUUUCUUUGAAAAUGACUGACCAUGCAGGUAACAUGCCGUCGCCCUCGCCCUUUGCCUUUCAAGGUGCAGGGACGGGUGAAGAUAUAGUCUGUGCUCCUAGAAAUAGGGGAAUCCACGACGAGAGGACCCGGAUGAACGAACCUCUGGUCUAUCGGCUGUCACGCCAGUGGCAUUGCCGAGUAGCUAUGUUCGGAACGGAUAACCGCUGAAAGCAUCUAAGCGGGAAGCCGCCUCCAAGAUAAGGAAUCAUUAAGUCCCCAGAGAGAUGAUCUGGUUGAUAGGCACUAGGUAGAAGUACAGCAAUGUAUGGAGCCGAGGUGUACUAAUAGGACGUAGUUU
rnacentral:tRNA from 1 species